GCUUUGACUGGCGGGCUGAACCAGGUGAGGGGAGCCGGUGUGCCUUGAACGCUUGGUGAGUUAGGGACUCCCCUUGUGUGCAAAGACAGGUUCCGGUGGAUUGAAGGGAUGACUUUUAGAAGACAUCUGAAGGCAGCCCUGUUUAGGGAAGCUUUUAAUGUUUAAUAGAUUAUUGUAGUUUAAUAUUCUGUUGGAAGCCGCCCAGAGUGGCUGGGGAAUUAAUAAUUAAUAAUAAUAAUAAUAAUAAUAAUGGCAAUAGCCCAACAGUGAUCAAGAAGGCAGUUUCUGUAGAGGGAAGUGAGGGGCAAAUGGGGCUCGUCCACCUGGGAAGGGAGCCCAUCUAGGGUAAGGAAAACUCUGAUCCUUAACCUCUGCUGCCUUGCAGGAUGUCUUUGGGGGAAGAAAAGGCUCAGGAGUGAACCCUACGCAAAUCCAGAGUGGAGACGCUAAGGCGGUUGGAGGCAGCAGUUACAACUGCACCGAAUCAUAGCAUUGUGGAGUUGGAAGGGACCCCAAGGGUCAUCUAGUCCAACCCCCCGCAAUGCAGGGGUUACGGGCCUCUGCAGCCGCAGUCGGUGCUCUGAUUCCCCAGCGAUUUGACUUCACCUCCGGAGGUGACAGACGGGUGCCAACAACCG